rnacentral:misc_RNA from 1 species
GAAAAUGACCUAAAAGAUGAGCAAGCACAGAAACCCAACUAGGCAGUCUGAAUGCCAUACAAAUCCAACAAGAAGCAGAGGCUAUGCCUUCAAACUAAUUCCAUCUCUUUUAACCACAAAAAUCCAACUAGCGUAGGCUAACAUGCAUAUAUAAAAUCAUAAACUAUACAUACUAAUCAAAAGACACAAAAAAAGACAGUGCUCCAAGCAGCACAAGCCAUUC